GAGAAGAGAAGAGAGGAGAAGGCCUCGGAACGAGGGAAGCCAACGAGGAUCGAGGGGGAGCGAUGGGUAUAUUUGGCUCCGACCGCGCAGGGACAUGUGGAUGGGUUUAAACCUUUCCUUUUUCCUUUUUCUUUUUCUAUUUUUAGGCGCCUCCGUUUCUUACUUUCUCUUUUUCUAUUUUCAUUUGUUAUUAUAUCUCAGAAAAUAAAAAUAUAAUAAAUCUAACAUGAUAAGAAUUAGGCUAC
rnacentral:lncRNA from 1 species